AUUGACUACGCAGCGACAUUAAGGUGGUUUUCCCGCAAAACCGAAUAAAAAAACAGUGCAGGAGUUAUUUCCCCUAUCUAGAUCAGAAUGUGUAAUGGCGGGCGACUUUUGACGUUGCAGACACAGUAACAAAUGUAGCAAUAGGUAAGGUACGCGUAUCGCAUGAAUAAUGAAAUAUAUGGCAUAUGGUGUCUUUUUUAAUAUUAUAAUGUAUUUUCACAUCAAGAAAUGGAAAUAAUUUGAGUGAAAGCUGUAUUUAUCAAAAGAAAAGUAGCAAGCGGAGUUUAAGCUCCGCCCACCUGUUUACCUUAUUUGGAAAUUCAAUGUAGUUGCGAAGCUUGCAGUUUGCAAGUUGGUUAAUUGAAAAUAACUAAAGUAGCCGUGCACUUGUCAGUUGAGAUUAUAACGACCUGGUUGAAGAAACUGAUGAGAACAAAUGGAAAAUUUAUUCAAUAUGAUCCAAUGUCAGGACAAAACACGACUUAGGUGUAAUUUAUCGCUUUCAGGUAUUACAAUCUAGAGAUAUAUACUAAAAUGCAGAGGGAAUGGCUUGUGCACUAAGAGAUCAGAUAAUAAGGUUCCACUAAAGUCAAAAUAUAGGACACUUCAUAAACAUCUAAACUUUGCCUGUAUCAGAGGCGGAUUUAGGGGGGGGCAGGGGGCCCGGGCCCCCCCUUUUUGAGAAAAAAUUGGUUGCUUAUAUAGGGAAUCAUUGAAGCGUGACUGAAGCGGGCCCCCUCUUAGGUCAGUCAGUGGGCCCCCACUUAUGAAAAUUCCUGGAUCCGCCACUGUGUAUUUUUUCAACCUAUAAUGAAUAAAGUCAUAAACUAUGAGAACAUAUGUUCGGUGUCUUUCGUAUUAAAAUGUGUCAAAGAGACAGCAACCCAACCAUAGAACAGACAAUAGCAGAAGGUCACCAACUUGUUUUCGUGUUCAGACGUUUUAUCUUCUAUGUUUCGUGUUUAGUAGGAUGACUUGAUGUGUGCUUCAUGUUUCCCCUUAUUUAUUUUCCAUGUUUCCUGUCAUACUCUUUAACUUCUCGUGCUUUUGACAUACAUCAUGUACAUGACAUAUUAUUUUUAUACAGUAUAUAUAAUAAUUAUAAUCAGUAUUAAAAUUGAAUAGUCACUGCAUCCACUUUCCCUCUAAAAUUAGAGUACAUGGAUGAUAUCAAAUAUCUGAACUGUGUCCCUGUUCAGUGUUCAGCUAUAUACAUGUAUAUCCCCAGUAAACAGAAUCGAGCCAUAAUGGUAUUUUUAAAAUUUUCAUUGCGAGACCUCAUGUCCAAGAGGCAGGAAAAAAAACCACUUGUAAUAAAGCUGUGUAUUCUGUUAUAACAGACAAUUGUGUACAAGCAUGAACGGAUGCAAAUCAUAUCAUUUAUUAAAUGGAAAAGGCCACAGCCUGUUUAGAAACGGUCAAUUUUGACGGUAUAUUAAAGUCAGUCUGUCUGUCUGUUCCAGAAUUGAAUAUUUUUCGUCGCAUCUUUCUCAGGAAAAUAACAUGGACUUCUUAAAUUUGGUUUGAGGGUUUAUAUGAGUCAGCAAUACCGUGUGAUGCUUUUUCAUAUUCAUCACUCAACAAAUUCCUGUGUACCUUAAAAUUCUUAAAGUGUAUGGGGGUAUCAAAAGUGAUCAGUAGCUCACAGAUUCACUUGUUUGUUUUAUAGUAUUUUAUAUUUUUUGUGGGGGAGGGGGCUGGCUAUUGUGAGCAGUGUUCUCAGCACUUCUAGUUAAUCAUAAAAAUUACAUUAAGACGAGCAAAAAUUAGCAACAUGCAUAUCCUGGGUUCAUUUAAUUUGCAUUAAUAUAAACAUUGUCAUUAAAACAUUUAAUCCCGCUGCAAAUGUUUUGCACCUGUUCUAAGUCAGGAAUCUGAUGUACAGUAGUUGUCGUUUGUUUAUGUAAUUUAUAAGUGUCUCUCGUUUCUUGUUUUUUAUAUAGAUUAGACCGUUUGUUUUCCUGUUUGAAUGGUUUUACACUUGUAAUUUUGGGGCCCUAUAUAGCUUGUUUAUUGAUGUGAGCCAAGGCUCCGUGUUGAAGGCCAUACAUUGACCUACAUGUAUAAUGGUUUACUUUUAUAAAUUGUUAUUUGGAUGGACAUGAUAGAGAGUUGUCUCAUUGGCACUCACACCACAUCUUCCUACAUUGUAUUUCUAUUGUAUGGCAAAAGUGAUUUCUUUAUUUUAAAAAAAUAUAUGAUUCAUUAUCAUGAUUAUACAUGUUACGAUGUAUACACAGGUUCAUACUAUUUUUGACAUACAUGACAUAUAGCUCUGUAAUUUUAUUCACUACUUGUACAUCUUUGGAUUUUAAAUGUUUGGCUUUGAGCGUUCCUGAUGAAGGUAAAUCCAGACUCAGCCAGAAAAGUGCUAUGGACGCAUGAAAUUAUUGAACCUGCUGUUUUCAAUUUUUCAUGCUCCUUUAUUUUAAAAAAAAAGUAUAUAAUUACAUUCUCUUUUUUUUUAAGGUCACCUGACAAUAACAGGAUUGAGGUUACAGUAUGCCAUUCAAGCUGUGAUGAAAUAUAAAGUAAUGGUUUGAAUUUGGAGAGCUUCAUUACAUGUAUUAUAGACAGGUAAAUUGUUUUAUCCUGCAAUUAUCUACAUGAUCUAACUAUUGUACAUGUAAAUGGGACGAAAACUCACCUGAAGGGUCCACAAGUUAAACAGAAAUUAAAAACUAUAUAUAUGUCAUCAUUUAGGCCUUAUGGCCUUCAACAAUGAGAAAAACACAUUCUGCCACAAUGUCUUCUAUGUACAUUUUACAUAGUGCGCCUUAUUAAAAUGUGUUUGGAAAAUUUAUUUUUUGUUCAAAUGUUGAAUGAAGACAUUACUACUGGUAAAAAAGGACGAGAAUUAUUUUGUUAGCAUUUUAACAGUACUUUUUGAAGAAGUAUGUUUGCACUAACUUUUGAUUACUUUUCUCAUAUUGAAAAUUUCAUUUGAUAUAUACAUUGUACUUGUAUUAUAUUUGCAUUUUCAUAUUUCAGGGAUGAAGACCUGCAGUCAGACACCAGUUAAAAGUUACUUAUAACUCAUCAUGGCCAUUAUGGAAGAUCUGAUUAAAAUUUGUCUAGAAAGCCACCAAAUAUGUCCAUGAAAAAUAGAAAAAUGACAGCAAUUCUACAUAAUGCACCGUACUAAGUAGAAGCAUUGACUGUUUCAAAACCAAAUGAAUUGGAAUUUAGUGUAUUGAUGCUGAAAUAGAGAGGAAUAUUAUUAAUUGGACAAUUUAACUUCUUUUUCAUCAUUAUUGAAGUUGAUGUAUACCAUCUUAAAGAGUUUUUACUUGACACAUGUGACAGUUAAAAGGAAUACCAAAUAUACAUAAUAAAGGCCGUUUGGAGAUUUGUGAAUAGUCUUAAAAUAGGAGUUUCAAAAAGGAUUUCAGUUAAAAUAUUGUAUUUCACGGAUGUCAGAAAUGUAAUUUUAUGUCUCUUUCAUGAAAUGUUUUAAAAAAUCUGCAAUAUCUAACCAAGACGAGUGAGAGAUCUACAGAUAGACAUAUGAUAUUCAGUUGAACUGUAAACAUGGUAAAGGGGA
rnacentral:lncRNA from 1 species